rnacentral:rRNA from 1 species
UAGCGGCGGACGGGUGAGUAAUGCUUAGGAAUCUGCCUAUUAGUGGGGGACAACAUUCCGAAAGGAAUGCUAAUACCGCAUACGCCCUACGGGGGAAAGCAGGGGAUCUUCGGACCUUGCGCUAAUAGAUGAGCCUAAGUCAGAUUAGCUAGUUGGUGGGGUAAAGGCCUACCAAGGCGACGAUCUGUAGCGGGUCUGAGAGGAUGAUCCGCCACACUGGGACUGAGACACGGCCCAGACUCCUACGGGAGGCAGCAGUGGGGAAUAUUGGACAAUGGGGGGAACCCUGAUCCAGCCAUGCCGCGUGUGUGAAGAAGGCCUUUUGGUUGUAAAGCACUUUAAGCGAGGAGGAGGCUACUGGUAUUAAUACUACCGGAUAGUGGACGUUACUCGCAGAAUAAGCACCGGCUAACUCUGUGCCAGCAGCCGCGGUAAUACAGAGGGUGCGAGCGUUAAUCGGAUUUACUGGGCGUAAAGCGUGCGUAGGCGGCUUUUUAAGUCGGAUGUGAAAUCCCUGAGCUUAACUUAGGAAUUGCAUUCGAUACUGGGAAGCUAGAGUAUGGGAGAGGAUGGUAGAAUUCCAGGUGUAGCGGUGAAAUGCGUAGAGAUCUGGAGGAAUACCGAUGGCGAAGGCAGCCAUCUGGCCUAAUACUGACGCUGAGGUACGAAAGCAUGGGGAGCAAACAGGAUUAGAUACCCUGGUAGUCCAUGCCGUAAACGAUGUCUACUAGCCGUUGGGGCCUUUGA